GGUUAAGUUACUAAGGGCACACGGUGGAUGCCUUGGCGCUAGGAGCCGAAGAAGGACGCAGCGAACUGCGAUAAGCCUCGGGGAGCGGUAAGCACGCUUUGAUCCGGGGAUCUCCGAAUGGGGCAACCCACUAUCCGUAAUGGGAUGGUAUCCGUAUCUGAAUACAUAGGGUACGAGAAGGCAGACCCGGUGAACUGAAACAUCUAAGUAGCCGGAGGAAGAGAAAACAAUAGUGAUUCCGUCAGUAGCGGCGAGCGAACGCGGAAGAGCCUAAACCGUCGGGUUUACCCGGCGGGGUUGUGGGACGUCUCACUAGGAGUUACAAAAGACUCUUGUAGAUGAACAGUUUGGGAAAGCUGACCAAAGAGCGUGACAGUCGCGUAAUCCAAACAAGAGUCUCUCCGAGACGGAUCCCGAGUAGCGCGGGACACGUGAAAUCCCGUGUGAAUCUGGCAGGACCAUCUGCUAAGGCUAAAUACUACCUAGCGACCGAUAGUGAACCAGUACCGUGAGGGAAAGGUGAAAAGCACCCCGGGAGGGGAGUGAAAUAGUACCUGAAACCGUGUGCUUACAAAUAGUCGGAGCCCGUUAAAAGGGUGACGGCGUGCCUUUUGUAGAAUGAACCGGCGAGUUACGGUAGCGUGCGAGGUUAAGUCGAAGAGACGGAGCCGCAGCGAAAGCGAGUCUGAAUAGGGCGCAAGUACGUUGCCGUAGACCCGAAACCGUGUGAUCUAGCCAUGUCCAGGGUGAAGGUAGGGUAACACCUACUGGAGGCCCGAACCCACGCACGUUGAAAAGUGCGGGGAUGAGGUGUGGCUAGCGGUGAAAUUCCAAUCGAACUCGGAGAUAGCUGGUUCUCCCCGAAAUAGCUUUAGGGCUAGCCUCGGAAUAAGAGUCUUGGAGGUAGAGCACUGAUUGGGCUAGGGGCCCUCAUCGGGUUACCGAACUCAGUCAAACUCCGAAUGCCAAUGACUUAUGUCCGGGAGUCAGACGGUGAGUGCUAAGAUCCAUCGUCAAAAGGGAAACAGCCCAGACCAUCAGCUAAGGUCCCCAAGUAUACGUUAAGUGGGAAACGAUGUGGAGUUGCCCAGACAACCAGGAUGUUGGCUUAGAAGCAGCCACCAUUUAAAGAGUGCGUAAUAGCUCACUGGUCGAGUGACUCUGCGCGGAAAAUGUAACGGGGCUAAACGUAUCACCGAAGCUAUGGCAGUCCUUACGGACUGGGUAGGGGAGCGUUCCAAGCAGCAGUGAAGCCGUACUGGAAAGAGCGGUGGAGCGCUUGGAAGUGAGAAUGCCGGUGUAAGUAGCGAAAAGACAAGUGAGAAUCUUGUCCACCGAAAGCCUAAGGGUUCCUGGGGAAGGCUCGUCCUCCCAGGGUUAGUCGGGACCUAAGCUGAGGCCGAAAGGCGUAGGCGAUGGACAACAGGUUGAUAUUCCUGUACCACCUCUGUUCCGCUUGAGCAAUGGCGUGACGCAGGAGGAUAGGGUGAGCGGCCUACUGGAUGGCCGUCCAAGCAGUGAGCCUGGUGUGUAGGCAAAUCCGCACAUCGUAAGGGCAAGCUGUGAUGGCGAGGGAAAUUUUAGUACCGAAGUCCCUGAUUUCACACUGCCAAGAAAAGCGUCUAGCGAGGAACAAGGUGCCCGUACCGCAAACCGACACAGGUAGGCGAGGAGAGAAUCCUAAGGUGCGCGGGAUAACUCUUGCUAAGGAACUCGGCAAAAUGGCCCCGUAACUUCGGGAGAAGGGGCGCCCCGGUAGGGUGAGGGACCCCGCCUGACGCGAGCGUAAGCUUGUGUCAGGUGGGCCGAGCCCGAGGGGGCCGCAGUGAAAAGGCCCAAGCGACUGUUUAGCAAAAACACAGGUCUCUGCGAAGCCGCAAGGCGAAGUAUAGGGGCUGACGCCUGCCCGGUGCUGGAAGGUUAAGGGGAUGAGUUAGCGCAAGCGAAGCUUUGAACCGAAGCCCCAGUAAACGGCGGCCGUAACUAUAACGGUCCUAAGGUAGCGAAAUUCCUUGUCGGGUAAGUUCCGACCCGCACGAAAGGCGUAACGACUUGGGCGCUGUCUCGGCAAGAGACCCGGUGAAAUCAUAAUACCUGUGAAGAUGCAGGUUACCCGCGACAAGACGGAAAGACCCCAUGGAGCUUUACUGUAGCCUGGUAUUGGAACUUUGUGCAUCAUGUACAGGAUAGGUGGGAAGCUGAGAAGCAGGGGCGCCAGCCUCUGUGGAGCUGUCGGUGGGAUACCACCCUUGAUGUACGGAGUUUCUAACUCGUCGCCCUGAUCGGGCGAGAGGACCAUGCCAGGUGGGCAGUUUGACUGGGGCGGUCGCCUCCCAAAAGGUAACGGAGGCGCCCAAAGGUUCCCUCAGAAUGGUCGGAAAUCAUUCGUAGAGUGUAAAGGCAGAAGGGAGCUUGACUGCGAGACCUACAAGUCGAGCAGGGACGAAAGUCGGGCUUAGUGAUCCGGUGGUUCCGCAUGGAAGGGCCAUCGCUCAACGGAUAAAAGCUACCCUGGGGAUAACAGGCUUAUCUCCCCCAAGAGUCCACAUCGACGGGGAGGUUUGGCACCUCGAUGUCGGCUCAUCGCAUCCUGGGGCUGAAGUAGGUCCCAAGGGUUGGGCUGUUCGCCCAUUAAAGCGGUACGCGAGCUGGGUUCAGAACGUCGUGAGACAGUUCGGUCCCUAUCUGUCGCGGGCGCAGGAAGUUUGAGGAGAGCUGUCCUUAGUACGAGAGGACCGGGAUGGACGCACCGCUGGUGCACCAGUUGUCACGCCAGUGGCACAGCUGGGUAGCUAUGUGCGGACGGGAUAAGCGCUGAAAGCAUCUAAGCGUGAAGCCCCCUCCAAGAUGAGACUUCCCACAGCGUUAAGCUGGUAAGACCCCUCAUAGACGAUGAGGUUGAUAGGUUCGGUGUGGAAGCGCGGCAACGCGUGGAGCUGACGAAUACUAAUCGGUCGAGGGCUUAUCCAC
rnacentral:rRNA from 1 species